rnacentral:lncRNA from 1 species
AAUAAAUCUAUACAAGCCACAAGUCACAUCACUCAAGGAAUCCCCGACCAGGGCAAGCCAAACACAAGCAUCUCCCUCAAGGUCAGGCUCACAGGAGGAAUCUAUAAGUAUUGAUCUGAGGAGCAGCUACCUACCAUUUGCCUGCCAACAUCUACAUUUUGAUGUUGUGCGUGCUGUUGUCUUCCAUCUUCCCCUUAGCUACAGAAAGAGGCCUUCCAAGGCACCUGCUUUGCUGUGAAGUGGAAGAAGGGGCUGGCACCGCGCCGUGUCAGAGGCAGCACUUGGGAAUUGGCAAAAAAUCGCAAUUCCUCAGAAAAAUGCAGACCCUGCGACCUGACGAGCACAAAGGUUUUGCUGGAUGGUUCUCUGCGUGACUGAGACACGCGUGUGCUCUGCUCACAAAAUGGUUCUUAUCUCACAAGACGACAAGUGUGUGUGAUCGAAGGAGAACGCAGAGUUGUGGCAUGAACGUGAAGCCCUGCAUUGUGAGGUUUCCAUCUGGGAGCACCUCAGAAAUGCUGGCUGCCUGAUGGCUUUGAACUGGUUUCCUGCCUGGACUGAUUCCUUCAGUCUUUGUGGCAGGUGGAUGGAAGAAGCAAGGAGGGGGGAAGCAUUUCUCACCAACCCUCUGAGGCCAGAAACACGGCACAUUCCCAGGGGCUUUCAGUCCUGCCUCCUCAAAAUCAGUGAGAGCUGAGGCUCCUGUCUUCUCUCAGUGCCUGGGUAACUGCUGAUUCUACCAGCAAAGAUUGAACUUGCGAUCUUCAAUAUCAUAAAACAUCCAAAUUAAAAGCUUGAAUGCUCUACCUGCUCUCUCUGCUACAACAAGCUGCUAAGGAACACAUGCCAACUAAGCCAAUAAAUUAUUUAAGCAGCUAAAACGUACA